UACGGAGGAUGCGAGCGUUAUCCGGAUUUAUUGGGUUUAAAGGGUGCGCAGGCGGCGUGUCAAGCAAGCGGUAAAAUAGCGGGGCUCAACCCCGUCGAGCCGUUUGAACUGGCGGGCUAGAGAGCAGGAGAGGGCGGCGGAACUCCAUGUGUAGCGGUAAAAUGCGUAGAUAUAUGGAAGAACACCAGUGGCGAAGGCGGCCGCCUGGCCUGUUACUGACGCUGAGGCACGAAAGCGUGGGGAGCAAACAGG
rnacentral:rRNA from 1 species